AUAAAAUAAACACAAUAGAAUCUCUAAUAGAUAGUUAUGUGAUAUAAU
rnacentral:guide_RNA from 1 species